GAUGAGUGGCACACUACAUCAGGCGCCCAAACGUGGGGCGUCCUCUCAGAGUGAGUUGUACAUAUAUUCAGCUCCACGCCUCCCCUUCAGACUGUUUGACUUCGACGGCAGGCACCAUCAUGUUAAGGUAGAUCUUUGAGUUUUGAAGGGCAAGAAUUCUUUGGGAGGAAGAAAAGAAAAUGAAAACAUGUACUUGAAAAAUAAUCAAAAAAGUUUUCCAACUCACAACUACAGAGCACCGCCCUCCAGGGAUGAAGAUGACAAGACAAGGUCCCUGGAUUGGAGGGGCAACAGUCCUACCCUUGCUUUUCGAUCUGUAAGAAAUGGCCAUUGGGUGGCGGCUGUUCAAAGUCAAACAAGCAGGGACACCUUCCUCAAAUGAUGGUCAAGGAGCCUCUUAGAUGAAGAGGCUUUAGUGUUUUUAGUAGCUGACUUAUUAUUUUUAAUAAGAUGAAGCUCUUUUUCUCUGUGUGAAUAUUGAAAUUUAUUUAUUUAUUUAUUUAGGUAUACAAAAGAUUACAUCUUUUCUUUACUCAUGAACACAAAAGCCUAAAGGAAAAUAACAUUUAAUUCCCUUAAGAGUGUGGCUGGUAACAUUUUUAGGUCAUGGAUCCCGCACCCCACCAAGAAUCUGAUGGAAGUGGGGAAUUGUUCUCUGAGUAUACAUAUGCACAUGCCCAUGAAAUGAUGCAGACGAUUUCAGGAGCUAAGGUCCACCAAGCCCACCCGCAGACCAGUUGGUCAGCCCUGUUUAGUACUCUGCUCUUUUCAAAUGCAAAUCUGGCACUACUUAUUCAGCACAUACACCCUUCAAAAGUGCUUGACAAGAGUCGGGUAGCGAUCUGGGUUAUAACAAGCCCUCCAGGUGACUCUGUUCCAUGCUAAAGUUUAAUAUUCACUGGCUAAAGCCAAAAUAUGCCAUACUCAGGCCCUGCCCACCAGAGAUUCUGAUUUAUUUGGUCUAGAUCAGGGGAGGGGCCCAGGAAGCUGCCUUUUAACUGGUGACCAGGUGCCUCGUUGGCAGGCAGUACACAGAACACAGUUUGGGAAAUGUUAUUAGAGUCCAUUAACAGCCUUCCCUUUACUGAGUGAAGAGAAGAAAAUUAAGCAUCAUGAACAAAAACUAGGCAUGCAAUGGAUGAAGAAAACAUGAAACACUGGUGAAAUAGUUUCCAAAGUGUUGGUGUUUCUAAUAGUUGAGACUCAGUGAUUUAAACACUAGAAAUGUGCUUUGUGCCUCCUGAUAAACAUUUAUAGCCCCAAAAGAAAGAGACCCCAUU